UGGGGAAUAUUGCACAAUGGGCGCAAGCCUGAUGCAGCCAUGCCGCGUGUAUGAACAAGGCCUUCGGGUUGUAAAGUACUUUCAGCGGGGAGGAAGGGAGUAAAGUUAAUACCUUUACUCAUUGACGUUACCCGCAGAAGAAGCACCGGCUAACUCCGUGCCAGCAGCCGCGGUAAUACGGAGGGGGCAAGCAUUAAUCGGUAUUACUGGGCGUAAAGCGCACGCAGGCGGUUUGUUAAGUCGGAUGUGAAAUCCCCGGGCUCAACCUGGGAACUGGAUCUGAUUCUGGCAAGCUUGAGUCUCGUAGAGGGGGGUAGAAUUCCAGGUGUAGCGAUGAAAUGCGUAGAGAUCUGGAGAAAUACCGGUAGCGAAGGCGGCCCCCUGGACGAAGACUGACGCUCAGGUGCGAAAGCGUGGGGAGCAAACAGG
rnacentral:rRNA from 1 species